rnacentral:rRNA from 1 species
AUGCAGAGGCACCUGCAUUAUAAGUCACUGGAUGAGUUCAGAUCGCUCCUAUACUAUGCCACCUCUCAAGCGAACUUUGAGCAAAGAUGGACCGAUUUCUAUAAUAAGUGGAAGACGGAUAGAACUAAAGAGUGGCUUGACAGGAUGUACAGGAAAAAGAGACUUUGGGCAGCUUCAUAUCUUUUUGAUGGUUUUUUUCUUGGUAUGCGAAGUAACCAGAGAAGCGAAAGCCUCAACUCCUGCCUUCACCUUCACCUGGACUACGGUAUGACAAUAGUUCAUUUGGUUGUGCAUUAUGAGAACUAUAUAGUUCGCCUGCAUGAGAAUGAGGCGUACGAUGACUGCGAGGCACACCAAAAAGAACCACCGUCGGUUACUGAAUAUAAGGCACUUGAGGAGCAUGCCACCAAAGUAUUCACACCUGCUAAUUUUUACAUCCUGCAAGAUGAUUUGCACAAGAUGGGUCAGCUGGAGAUAUUUGAGACGCUCGUGGGAAUUGAGCGUCAGGCAUAUAUGGUGACAUGGAAGGAUAACCACAAGUUCUUGUACAAUGUUGUUUAUGAACCAGGUAACUCAGAAGAAACUAUAACAUGCAGUUGUCUUAGGAUGGUUCGGAAAGGCCUGCCAUGCAAACACAUUCUUUUUGUUCUCCAUCAUCUGAACAUAACUGAAAUACCAAAGUGUUGUGUCCUUCAUCGUUUGUCAAAAAAUGCGAGAGAUGGAUUGCCUGUGCAGCGGAAGAGUGAUAUGUUUGGAUGGGGUUGGUCAGGGCCAUUAGAGAGAGACCGGUAUAGUCAAAUAAUCAUUAAAACCGCAGAGGCAGCUCAUGUUGCAGCAAAUGAUCCUUCUUGCUUGACGAGUUGA